rnacentral:rRNA from 1 species
UACGUAGGGUGCGAGCGUUGCCCGGAUUUAUUGGGCGUAAAGGGCGCGUAGGCGGCUCUGCACGUCCGUUGUGAAAUCGCCCGGCUCAACUGGGCGGGGUCAGCGGAUACGGCAGAGCUCGAGCAAGCUAGGGGGCAAUGGAAUUCCCGGUGUAGUGGUGGAAUGCGUAGAUAUCGGAAGGAACGCCGGUGGCGAAAGCGCUCGACUGGACCUCUUCUGACGCUGAGGCGCGAAAGCCAGGGGAGCAAACGGG